UACGAGGGGGGCGAGCGUUGUUCGGAAUUAUUGGGCGUAAAGGGUGCGUAGGCGGUUUGGUAAGUCUUGUGUGAAAUCUUCGGGCUCAACUCGAAGUCUGCACGAGAAACUGCCGGGCUUGAGUAUGGGAGAGGUGAGUGGAAUUCCCGGUGUAGCGGUGAAGUGCGUAGAUAUCGGGAGGAACACCUGUGGCGAAAGCGGCUCACUGGACCAUAACUGACGCUGAGGCACGAAAGCUAGGGGAGCAAACAGG
rnacentral:rRNA from 1 species